rfam:Ipomoea nil DNA, scaffold: scaffold0188, cultivar: Tokyo-kokei standard.
GCCUCUAUAGUAUAGUGGUAGUGCAUUUACUUUGUAAGUGAAAGGUCGUGAGUUCAAUCCUCACUAGGGGUU